UUGCUAUGAUGUGAACCUCUGACUGAACUAAAUCUUGAUGUGCCAAAAUCAGUGAGCUUUUUAACCCUGAGCAAU
ensembl:snoRNA SNORD36 Small nucleolar RNA SNORD36